UAAAGAACAGUACACAGAUACUUAUUCUUUGAUGCCCCGAAACACAUUCCUAGCUCUAGAUCUGCCUUACAUUUCAAUAAUGGCUCUUUCAUCACAUUUGCUUGAUAACUGCUGAUUUGUAAUGCUUAAAAUUGAUCCCACUCAGUUUGACUAUCUUAGGUUAGCUGUAAUAUCGAACUCGACAGUAGCUUCCUCUGUCAUGUCGGAGAUCUCAGGAGACGACUUGGUAUUUUGUGUCAAGAAGAGGUUAACCUCCCACUUAACAAGAUAAACAUCAAAUUCAUAGGAGUGCCAAAAAGGUACCGUUUAAUCGAGAGGACUUCACUGAUGACAGAGAUGUGGAAAAGACUACGUCCUUCUCUGGAAAACUACAAGGAUAAAAUACCCACCUUCUUCGGGAAAAAGUCCAUCAUAUGCGAAAGGAAACUUACUCACGUGCGAAAGACGAACUCUAAGAAUUGGAGAAUAACGGCAGUAGACAGCAGCUAACUUCCCCUGUACUCAACGACAUUGAACAAUAGACAUGAAAUGACUCGCUGACCCCCUACAAAGUACUUGUGCUCGGAGGCAGAAUUUGGCAUCGUUUGGGUCGAGAGAUUUCCAAGGGUAAUGAUACAGUUAAACUGUAUAAAAAUACCUCUCUAAAACAACCUUCUCCUGGUCGGCCAUGUCCCUCAUCCUGCACUUGACCCCUGCAGAGG